rnacentral:rRNA from 2 species
UUUGAUCCUGGCUCAGGACGAACGCUGGCGGCGUGCCUAAUACAUGCAAGUCGAGCGGACUUGAUGGAGAGCUUGCUCUCCUGAGAGUUAGCGGCGGACGGGUGAGUAACACGUAGGCAACCUGCCCUCUGGACUGGGAUAACUACCGGAAACGGUAGCUAAUACCAGAUAAUUCACUUUUUCGCAUGGAGAAGUGAGGAAAGACGGAGCAAUCUGUCACCGGAGGAUGGGCCUGCGGCGCAUUAGCUAGUUGGAGAGGUAACGGCUCCCCAAGGCGACGAUGCGUAGCCGACCUGAGAGGGUGAUCGGCCACACUGGGACUGAGACACGGCCCAGACUCCUACGGGAGGCAGCAGUAGGGAAUCUUCCGCAAUGGGCGAAAGCCUGACGGAGCAACGCCGCGUGAGUGAUGAAGGUUUUCGGAUCGUAAAGCUCUGUUGCCAAGGAAGAACGUCCUUAAGAGUAACUGCUUAAGGAGUGACGGUACUUGAGAAGAAAGCCCCGGCUAACUACGUGCCAGCAGCCGCGGUAAUACGUAGGGGGCAAGCGUUGUCCGGAAUUAUUGGGCGUAAAGCGCGCGCAGGCGGUCAUGUAAGUCUGGUGUUUAAGCCCGGGGCUCAACCCCGGAUCGCACGGGAAACUGGAUGACUUGAGUGCAGAAGAGGAGAGUGGAAUUCCACGUGUAGCGGUGAAAUGCGUAGAGAUGUGGAGGAACACCAGUGGCGAAGGCGACUNNNNGGGCUG